CUUCGCGCAUGCGCGCGUGAAUAAUCACAGUGCAACGUAUAAAGCUGCCACUUGAUGGAAACUUUUGACAUGCUGUAGGGAGGCGUCUGAGUCGCGAGCACGUAAGUCGGUGAUGUCAUCUCGCAGAAAUGAAAGCACUCAAAGCGGAUGCGAUUGAUUUGCCGUGUGGAUUGAUUGUUGGAUGGGUUAUUUGAUUGCGGUUCCUUUUUGUUCGCAUUAGCUCAAUGUCCAUCCUCUGUAGAAAUGAAGACAAUUCAUAGUUGCUGUUUGUAACCUAACAUCCGAAGUGUACUCCGAUUUGUGAGCAAAACCCGCAUGGUCCUGCGUCGAGAACGUCCAUGAUGGGGACAAAACAUCUUCUCUUGUACAUCUUGUAUAUUUCCCCAUUAUGGGACAAAUAAAGGAUAUCAACAAUUCUCA